AUUAUCCUUAUUGCCCCUUCAAGAGCUAAGCCACUGUGAGUGCCGGAGAUAAGCGCCGGAUGGGGUAGA
rnacentral:sRNA from 2 species